UACGUAGGUGGCGAACGUUAUCCGGAGUGACUGGGCGUAAAGGGUCCGUAGGCGGGAAGGUCAGCCGGUCGUGAAAUCUCCUGGCUCAACUAGGAGGGGUCGGUCGGAACUGCCAUUCUGGAAUCCGUGCGAGGUCGGUGGAAUUCCCGGUGUAGUGGUGGAAUGCGUAGAGAUCGGGAGGAACACCAGUAGCGAAGGCGGCUCGCUGGGCCACUCCUGACGCUGAGACGCGAAAGCAUGGGGAGCGAACAGG
rnacentral:rRNA from 1 species